rnacentral:rRNA from 1 species
CAGUCGAGCGCAGGAGUUAUCUGAUCCUCUUUUAAGGUGACGAUAUGGAAUGAGCGGCGGACGGGUGAGUAACACGUAGGCAACCUGCCUGUAAGACUGGGAUAACUCGUGGAAACGCGAGCUAAUACCGGAUAACACUUUUCAUCUCCUGAUGAGAAGUUGAAAGGCGGCUUUUGCUGUCACUUACAGAUGGGCCUGCGGCGCAUUAGCUAGUUGGUAAGGUAAUGGCUUACCAAGGCGACGAUGCGUAGCCGACCUGAGAGGGUGAUCGGCCACACUGGGACUGAGACACGGCCCAGACUCCUACGGGAGGCAGCAGUAGGGAAUCUUCCGCAAUGGACGAAAGUCUGACGGAGCAAC